AGACCAAAUAGGAAUCCGUAUGCUGCGGCCCGCAGUGGAUUCGGGUAGGUCGCUAGAGGCCAGCGGUGACGCUGGUCCCAGAUGAAUGAUCGUUCUCGACAGAACCCGGCUUAUCGGCCGACUCCUCUU
rnacentral:RNase_P_RNA from 1 species